UCCUUCGUGACUUGCAUGCUGCUAUAUAAUUUGGUUCUGUUUUUGUUUGUUCUCAAAGUUUGGUGUGUGGGAAUCCGUUAGUGCUUCAUUUUUGCUCUGUACCAAGAGUUGUUUUCUUCUUUCUUAUGGUUGUGAAUAUAUGUAUGUGAACAUAUAAAACCUUCGUUUGGAGUGAAUCGAAAAGCUUACUACGAUAAAAUUAUAUUUUGUGGUACUUGAAUAUUAGCCCAUGGUAUAAUCAGUUUCUACUCAAAGUCUAGAAAUCAAAGGACCCCAAAUUUGCCAGAAAACGAGUAGAGAGCAAGGAGAAUUGACCCCAGUUAGCUCCAACCUUGCGGUAAACGAGGGCUACUCUACUGUUUAUGCAGCAGGGGAAGGGAAGGGAAGUAAAAAUUAUAAGCAAAUGCGUAUAAGUUACAAGCUUUUAAUUAAAAAUAGAAAUGGAGUGACAACAAACAAAAUAUAGGGAUUAAGUUCAUUUAAGUAUGGGUCGUUUUGUAUUUGAAAUCUGAAAGGAGAAACAGAAAUUACAAGAAGAAGAGGAAGAUUGCGUUCCGAUCAUGGCCUUCUCUUCCUGCCUCUUAUCCAAAUCCUGACAAGUUAGUUACUCAACCUUCACUUCUCAUCCGUCUCCUUUUUUUGAUUUUAAAAGAACCAUG